rnacentral:rRNA from 1 species
GAUGAACGCUGGCGGCGUGCCUAAUACAUGCAAGUCGAGCGAACAGACGAGGAGCUUGCUCCUCUGACGUUAGCGGCGGACGGGUGAGUAACACGUGGAUAACCUACCUAUAAGACUGGGAUAACUUCGGGAAACCGGAGCUAAUACCGGAUAAUAUAUUGAACCGCAUGGUUCAAUAGUGAAAGACGGUUUUGCUGUCACUUAUAGAUGGAUCCGCGCCGCAUUAGCUAGUUGGUAAGUUAACGGCUUACCAAGGCAACGAUGCGUAGCCGACCUGAGAGGGUGAUCGGCCACACUGGAACUGAGACGCGGUCCAGGCUCCUACGGGAGGCAGCAGUAGGGAAUCUUCCGCAAUGGGCGAAAGCCUGAAGGAGCAACGCAGCGUGAGUGAUGAAGGUCUUCGGAUCGUAAAACUCUGUUAUUAGGGAAGAACAAAUGUGUAGUAACUAUGCACGUAUUGACGGUACCUAAUCAGAAAGCCACGGCUAACUACGUG